UACAGAGGUCCCGAGCGUUGUUCGGAUUCACUGGGCGUAAAGGGUGCGUAGGCGGUGAGGUAAGUCGGAUGUGAAAGCUCGGAGCUCAACUCCGAAAUGGCAUUGGAAACUACCUUGCUAGAGGGUUGGAGGGGGGUGGAAUUCCGCGUGUAGCAGUGAAAUGCGUAGAGAUGCGGAGGAACACCGAUGGCGAAGGCAGCCCCCUGGGCUAACACUGACGCUCAGGCACGAAAGCGUGGGGAGCAAACAGG
rnacentral:rRNA from 1 species